rnacentral:ncRNA from 2 species
GCUCGUCAUGCAGGAGAGAGUGGCCGCCCGCGCCACCGCCGAAGGCGCAAGCGCACCCGCAAUCGCUCAGGCAAAAGGACUGCAUCAUCGGA